GGUUAAGCGACUAAGCGUACACGGUGGAUGCCCUGGCAGUCAGAGGCGAUGAAGGACGUGCUAAUCUGCGAUAAGCGUCGGUAAGGUGAUAUGAACCGUUAUAACCGGCGAUUUCCGAAUGGGGAAACCCAGUGUGUUUCGACACACUAUCAUUAACUGAAUCCAUAGGUUAAUGAGGCGAACCGGGGGAACUGAAACAUCUAAGUACCCCGAGGAAAAGAAAUCAACCGAGAUUCCCCCAGUAGCGGCGAGCGAACGGGGAGCAGCCCAGAGCCUGAAUCAGUGUGUGUGUUAGUGGAAGCGUCUGGAAAGGCACGCGAUACAGGGUGACAGCCCCGUACACAAAAAUGCACAUGCUGUGAGCUCGAUGAGUAGGGCGGGACACGUGGUAUCCUGUCUGAAUAUGGGGGGACCAUCCUCCAAGGCUAAAUACUCCUGACUGACCGAUAGUGAACCAGUACCGUGAGGGAAAGGCGAAAAGAACCCCGGCGAGGGGAGUGAAAAAGAACCUGAAACCGUGUACGUACAAGCAGUGGGAGCACGCUUAGGCGUGUGACUGCGUACCUUUUGUAUAAUGGGUCAGCGACUUAUAUUCUGUAGCAAGGUUAACCGAAUAGGGGAGCCGAAGGGAAACCGAGUCUUAACUGGGCGUUAAGUUGCAGGGUAUAGACCCGAAACCCGGUGAUCUAGCCAUGGGCAGGUUGAAGGUUGGGUAACACUAACUGGAGGACCGAACCGACUAAUGUUGAAAAAUUAGCGGAUGACUUGUGGCUGGGGGUGAAAGGCCAAUCAAACCGGGAGAUAGCUGGUUCUCCCCGAAAGCUAUUUAGGUAGCGCCUCGUGAAUUCAUCUCCGGGGGUAGAGCACUGUUUCGGCAAGGGGGUCAUCCCGACUUACCAACCCGAUGCAAACUGCGAAUACCGGAGAAUGUUAUCACGGGAGACACACGGCGGGUGCUAACGUCCGUCGUGAAGAGGGAAACAACCCAGACCGCCAGCUAAGGUCCCAAAGUCAUGGUUAAGUGGGAAACGAUGUGGGAAGGCCCAGACAGCCAGGAUGUUGGCUUAGAAGCAGCCAUCAUUUAAAGAAAGCGUAAUAGCUCACUGGUCGAGUCGGCCUGCGCGGAAGAUGUAACGGGGCUAAACCAUGCACCGAAGCUGCGGCAGCGACACUAUGUGUUGUUGGGUAGGGGAGCGUUCUGUAAGCCUGUGAAGGUGUGCUGUGAGGCAUGCUGGAGGUAUCAGAAGUGCGAAUGCUGACAUAAGUAACGAUAAAGCGGGUGAAAAGCCCGCUCGCCGGAAGACCAAGGGUUCCUGUCCAACGUUAAUCGGGGCAGGGUGAGUCGACCCCUAAGGCGAGGCCGAAAGGCGUAGUCGAUGGGAAACAGGUUAAUAUUCCUGUACUUGGUGUUACUGCGAAGGGGGGACGGAGAAGGCUAUGUUGGCCGGGCGACGGUUGUCCCGGUUUAAGCGUGUAGGCUGGUUUUCCAGGCAAAUCCGGAAAAUCAAGGCUGAGGCGUGAUGACGAGGCACUACGGUGCUGAAGCAACAAAUGCCCUGCUUCCAGGAAAAGCCUCUAAGCAUCAGGUAACAUCAAAUCGUACCCCAAACCGACACAGGUGGUCAGGUAGAGAAUACCAAGGCGCUUGAGAGAACUCGGGUGAAGGAACUAGGCAAAAUGGUGCCGUAACUUCGGGAGAAGGCACGCUGAUAUGUAGGUGAAGUCCCUUGCGGAUGGAGCUGAAAUCAGUCGAAGAUACCAGCUGGCUGCAACUGUUUAUUAAAAACACAGCACUGUGCAAACACGAAAGUGGACGUAUACGGUGUGACGCCUGCCCGGUGCCGGAAGGUUAAUUGAUGGGGUCAGCGCAAGCGAAGCUCUUGAUCGAAGCCCCGGUAAACGGCGGCCGUAACUAUAACGGUCCUAAGGUAGCGAAAUUCCUUGUCGGGUAAGUUCCGACCUGCACGAAUGGCGUAAUGAUGGCCAGGCUGUCUCCACCCGAGACUCAGUGAAAUUGAACUCGCUGUGAAGAUGCAGUGUACCCGCGGCAAGACGGAAAGACCCCGUGAACCUUUACUAUAGCUUGACACUGAACAUUGAGCCUUGAUGUGUAGGAUAGGUGGGAGGCUUUGAAGUGUGGACGCCAGUCUGCAUGGAGCCGACCUUGAAAUACCACCCUUUAAUGUUUGAUGUUCUAACGUGGACCCGUGAUCCGGGUUGCGGACAGUGUCUGGUGGGUAGUUUGACUGGGGCGGUCUCCUCCUAAAGAGUAACGGAGGAGCACGAAGGUUGGCUAAUCCUGGUCGGACAUCAGGAGGUUAGUGCAAUGGCAUAAGCCAGCUUGACUGCGAGCGUGACGGCGCGAGCAGGUGCGAAAGCAGGUCAUAGUGAUCCGGUGGUUCUGAAUGGAAGGGCCAUCGCUCAACGGAUAAAAGGUACUCCGGGGAUAACAGGCUGAUACCGCCCAAGAGUUCAUAUCGACGGCGGUGUUUGGCACCUCGAUGUCGGCUCAUCACAUCCUGGGGCUGAAGUAGGUCCCAAGGGUAUGGCUGUUCGCCAUUUAAAGUGGUACGCGAGCUGGGUUUAGAACGUCGUGAGACAGUUCGGUCCCUAUCUGCCGUGGGCGCUGGAGAACUGAGGGGGGCUGCUCCUAGUACGAGAGGACCGGAGUGGACGCAUCACUGGUGUUCGGGUUGUCAUGCCAAUGGCACUGCCCGGUAGCUAAAUGCGGAAGAGAUAAGUGCUGAAAGCAUCUAAGCACGAAACUUGCCCCGAGAUGAGUUCUCCCUGACCCUUUAAGGGUCCUGAAGGAACGUUGAAGACGACGACGUUGAUAGGCCGGGUGUGUAAGCGCAGCGAUGCGUUGAGCUAACCGGUACUAAUGAACCGUGAGGCUUAACCUU
rnacentral:rRNA from 1 species